rnacentral:rRNA from 1 species
UACGAAGGGGGCUAGCGUUGUUCGGAUUUACUGGGCGUAAAGCGCACGUAGGCGGAUUGGUCAGUUAGGGGUGAAAUCCCAGAGCUCAACUCUGGAACUGCCCUUAAUACUGCCAGUCUAGAGUCCGGAAGAGGUGAGUGGAACUCCUAGUGUAGAGGUGGAAUUCGUAGAUAUUCGCAAGAACACCAGUGGCGAAGGCGGCUCACUGGCCCGAUACUGACGCUGAGGCACGAAAGCGUGGGGAGCAAACAGG